UAGAACNACUCUCANCAACNGAUAUCUUGGCUCUUGCAACGAUGAAGAACGCANCNAAAUGCGAUACGUAGNGUGAAUUGCAGAAUUCCNCNAAUCAUCGAGUUUUUGAACGCAAGUUGCGCCCGAGGCUUGUCCGAGGGCAUUUCCGCUAGAGCGUCACC
rnacentral:rRNA from 1 species